CCAUUGAGGGUCGUCAUAGACGAUGACGUUGAUAGGGUGCAGGUGUAAAGACGGUGACGUCAAAGCCGAGCACUACUAAUUGCCCGAGAUCUUUCG
rnacentral:rRNA from 2 species